rnacentral:rRNA from 1 species
UUGGGAUCUAGAUCUGAGUAUAUCAAUAUUACCUUGUUCAGAACUUAAAGAGAAAUCUUGAGUUUAUGGACUUCAGGGGGAGUAUGGUCACAAGGCUGAAACUUAAAGGAAUUGACGGAAGGGCACACCAGGAGUGGAGCCUGCGGCUUAAUUUGACUCAACACGGGAAAACUUACCAAGACCGAACAGUAGAAGGAAUGACAGAUUAAGAGUUCUUUCAUGAUUUAUUGGGUAGUGGUGCAUGGCCGUUCUUAGUUGGUGGAGUGAUUUGUCAGGUUAAUUCCGGUAACGAACGAGACUGAAACCUAUUAAUUAGUUUUCUGCCUAUAAGACAGAAAUGUUCGCAAGAACAGGUGCGUAAGUACCACUUCUUAAAGGGACACAUUUCAAUUGUCCUAUUUUAAUUGUAGUUAUCUAAUUUCGGUA